CUUUCUUCCUGAUUUUUUCUCUCUCCGCCAUUGAUGCUGCUCUUCUACAUCAAUGUAGUUAACAAGCAGCAAUCUAGAAUUGCACAUCUAGAUUCUCGGUUUUCAUCUAAGAAGAUAUUCAAUCCGAUCUCGUCUCUUCCGUUUUUAAUCGUCAAGUUGCUGGUACUAGUAAAGGUUCAAUCGGAAAGCAUGUCUUCCUCUCCCACUCAAUCUAGUACUUCAGUGUCACCGGUUGACCUGCCUAAAAGGACAUUUGCUGUUGAUUGUUAUCCAGGUCAUGUGGUUCAAAUUAACUCAUAUUCGAGACCUCGUUACCUAAUAGACAUUUUACAUAUACUUGCUGGAUUGCCUGAGCUACAAACGUUGUUGUCUUCUCCUCUUAGUGCACUUUUCUCGUUGCUGGUUCGAUAUUGCUCUCUCUUUGGCCAAUUAGUACAUCAAAUGUUAUGUAGACAGCUUUGUACUCCUAACAGUGACGCAAUGUGGUUUGUUUAUCGUGGCCAACCUUUAUGUUUCUCUCUCCUGGAAUUUGUACAAUUGACUAGUCUUUCAUGUGCGCCUUCUCUUCCGACAGCAGAGCUAGUGGCUGCAACUACUCAUUUUGACAGUUUUGCUCCAUACUGGUAUACCCUUAUUGGCCGCACAUUGGGGAGGAGACCGUUGAGGAUCUGGUCACCAUGUUGAAGAGUGAACCAAGCAUGCCAGCUUGGCGUAAGUUUAGACUCGCGUUAGUUGUUAUUGUUGAAGGAAUCCUACUGUGCAGAACGCAGCUAGUCAAACCAUUAGUAGAAGUUGUUGAGAUGGUGAAAAGUGUCGAUUUUUUCCUUCGCUACCCUUGGGGCCGCCAUUCAUUCAAACGCUUGAUAAGGCCUAUCUUAUAAAAAACCUCAAGCAAUCAUCACUCACUGUUCAUGGGUUCCCUCUUCCCAUUCAGCUCCUUGCUUUCAGAUCUAUCCCGUUGUUAACCAAGUUUUUGCGUCAUAGUGAAGAUCAGUCAACGUUCCUUGACUAGACUGUUACAUAUCUACGAACAUGCAAGUUGUUCCAUACUUCCAAUAUAUUGUCUAUUGAGAAGUUCUUUGAGAAUUGUGAUACUGCUUUCCCAAACACUCUCAAUAUGCAUCUUUGAUCAACAUAGACAUAUAUAAGCGUUCUUUGAUCAGACCUUGUUUGGUGGAAAUAGAAGAGUCUUUUUAUAGCAUAUAUGGAGAUGGUGUUUUGCAUAUGGUCUUUGUCUUUGAACAGUCGGCCAAUAUAGAUUGAAUCUUCUUCAGCGGAUACAGUUCCAGAACCGUCCGUCUUGGUCAAGUCAAUCACAUCAUCAAAGACUGGUUCUACAUCCUCAGCUUGCAUACCCUGCUCAUAGUUAAUCUCGUCACUGAAGGUCAUAAGCGGAGCUUAUAUCUUUGAGCUUUGAGUUGAGAUGAGAUGAUAGAAGAUGAUGAAGAUCUGAAAAUUUUCAUCUAUUAAUCACAGUAUGCGACGGUCCCAAUAUGUUUAUUGACGGUUAAAUCUGUAGAAGGAUCUUUCAAGUGGGUUUUGAAGACUCUAGUUGAUUUGAUUACUGGAUUAAGGAUCUAAAAAGAAGAUCAGCUCCAGUGGUGAAAGUGAUGAUGAUUUGGAUGAAAAGGUGGAGCUUUUGUCGGAAGUCGGUGAGCUUUAAUCGAUUCUGCUCUCCUAUCAAAUUAGAAUCAUCAACGCGUCUUACAUGUGUUAAUUGGACUUAUACUCAUGUAACAAAAAGAUAUAAUGUUUCUUUAAGCUUCAUAUUAAUAUUGAAGUCCAGUGAUGUUGGGCUUCGAAACCA